AUGUCUCUACCUUCUAAAAUAAUAUCUCCUUCGUCCGAUGAGUUUUUUGAGCUUUGUGUUAGUAAACUUCACUCCAUCUUUACGGGUUUCAAGUACUAUGAAUUGGAUCAAGAUCACCAGCAAUUUGUCUGUGCAAGUUUUCUAAUAGUAAAAUCUCUACCAACGGAUUUCAGCUCGGAAACAUAUAGAGGGAAGUGGAGCAAGACUUCAACUCAGAAUUUGUAUCCUUCUCAACAUUAG